AGUCGAGCGGUAGCACAGAGAGCUUGCUCUCGGGUGACGAGCGGCGGACGGGUGAGUAAUGUCUGGGAAACUGCCUGAUGGAGGGGGAUAACUACUGGAAACGGUAGCUAAUACCGCAUAACGUCGCAAGACCAAAGUGGGGGACCUUCGGGCCUCAUGCCAUCAGAUGUGCCCAGAUGGGAUUAGCUGGUAGGUGGGGUAACGGCUCACCUAGGCGACGAUCCCUAGCUGGUCUGAGAGGAUGACCAGCCACACUGGAACUGAGACACGGUCCAGACUCCUACGGGAGGCAGCAGUGGGGAAUAUUGCACAAUGGGCGCAAGCCUGAUGCAGCCAUGCCGCGUGUGUGAAGAAGGCCUUCGGGUUGUAAAGCACUUUCAGCGGGGAGGAAGGCGGUGAGGUUAAUAACCUCAUCGAUUGACGUUACCCGCAGAAGAAGCACCGGCUAACUCCGUGCCAGCAGCCGCGGUAAUACGGAGGGUGCAAGCGUUAAUCGGAAUUACUGGGCGUAAAGCGCACGCAGGCGGUCUGUCAAGUCGGAUGUGAAAUCCCCGGGCUCAACCUGGGAACUGCAUUCGAAACUGGCAGGCUAGAGUCUUGUAGAGGGGGGUAGAAUUCCAGGUGUAGCGGUGAAAUGCGUAGAGAUCUGGAGGAAUACCGGUGGCGAAGGCGGCCCCCUGGACAAAGACUGACGCUCAGGUGCGAAAGCGUGGGGAGCAAACAGGAUUAGAUACCCUGGUAGUCCACGCUGUAAACGAUGUCGAUUUGGAGGUUGUGCCCUUGAGGCGUGGCUUCCGGAGCUAACGCGUUAAAUCGACCGCCUGGGGAGUACGGCCGCAAGGUUAAAACUCAAAUGAAUUGACGGGGGCCCGCACAAGCGGUGGAGCAUGUGGUUUAAUUCGAUGCAACGCGAAGAACCUUACCUGGUCUUGACAUCCACAGAACUUUCCAGAGAUGGAUUGGUGCCUUCGGGAACUGUGAGACAGGUGCUGCAUGGCUGUCGUCAGCUCGUGUUGUGAAAUGUUGGGUUAAGUCCCGCAACGAGCGCAACCCUUAUCCUUUGUUGCCAGCGGUUAGGCCGGGAACUCAAAGGAGACUGCCAGUGAUAAACUGGAGGAAGGUGGGGAUGACGUCAAGUCAUCAUGGCCCUUACGACCAGGGCUACACACGUGCUACAAUGGCAUAUACAAAGAGAAGCGACCUCGCGAGAGCAAGCGGACCUCAUAAAGUAUGUCGUAGUCCGGAUUGGAGUCUGCAACUCGACUCCAUGAAGUCGGAAUCGCUAGUAAUCGUAGAUCAGAAUGCUACGGUGAAUACGUUCCCGGGCCUUGUACACACCGCCCGUC
rnacentral:rRNA from 1 species